CGAGUUGGCCGAGAUAAUCGCUGCCUGUGACGAAAAUGAUCAGGGGGAGGAAAGUCCGGGCUCCACAGGGCAGGGUGCCAGUUAACGACUGGGGGGCGCGAGCCUACGACAAGUGCAACAGAGAGCAAACCGCCGAUGGCCUUCUUGUAAGGAUCAGGUAAGGGUGAAAGGGUGCGGUAAGAGCGCACCGCGCGGCUGGUAACAGUCCGUGGCACGGUAAACUCCACCCGGAGCAAGACCAAAUAGGGUUCUAUCAUUUUAAAUAAUGAACGCGUGGCCCACGUGAGAACCGGGUAGGUUGCUUGAGCCUAAGAGCGAUUUUAGGCCUAGACGAAUGAUUAUCACUUUCUUCGGAAAGCACAGAACCCGGCUUAUUGGCCGACUCACCAA
rnacentral:RNase_P_RNA from 17 species